rnacentral:rRNA from 1 species
UCUCGGGUGACGAGCGGCGGACGGGUGAGUAAUGUCUGGGAAACUGCCUGAUGGAGGGGGAUAACUACUGGAAACGGUAGCUAAUACCGCAUAAUGUCGCAAGACCAAAGUGGGGGACCUUCGGGCCUCAUGCCAUCAGAUGUGCCCAGAUGGGAUUAGCUAGUAGGUGGGGUAACGGCUCACCUAGGCGACGAUCCCUAGCUGGUCUGAGAGGAUGACCAGCCACACUGGAACUGAGACACGGUCCAGACUCCUACGGGAGGCAGCAGUGGGGAAUAUUGCACAAUGGGCGCAAGCCUGAUGCAGCCAUGCCGCGUGUGUGAAGAAGGCCUUCGGGUUGUAAAGCACUUUCAGCGGGGAGGAAGGCGUUAAGGUUAAUAACCUUGGCGAUUGACGUUACCCGCAGAAGAAGCACCGGCUAACUCCGUGCCAGCAGCCGCGGUAAUACGGAGGGUGCAAGCGUUAAUCGGAAUUACUGGGCGUAAAGCGCACGCAGGCGGUCUGUCAAGUCGGAUGUGAAAUCCCCGGGCUCAACCUGGGAACUGCAUUCGAAACUGGCAGGCUAGAGUCUUGUAGAGGGGGGUAGAAUUCCAGGUGUAGCGGUGAAAUGCGUAGAGAUCUGGAGGAAUACCGGUGGCGAAGGCGGCCCCCUGGACAAAGACUGACGCUCAGGUGCGAAAGCGUGGGGAGCAAACAGGAUUAGAUACCCUGGUAGUCCACGCCGUAAACGAUGUCGAUUUGGAGGUUGUGCCCUUGAGGCGUGGCUUCCGGAGCUAACGCGUUAAAUCGACCGCCUGGGGAGUACGGCCGCAAGGUUAAAACUCAAAUGAAUUGACGGGGGCCCGCACAAGCGGUGGAGCAUGUGGUUUAAUUCGAUGCAACGCGAAGAACCUUACCUGGUCUUGACAUCCACAGAACUUUCCAGAGAUGCUUUGGUGCCUUCGGGAACUGUGAGACAGGUGCUGCAUGGCUGUCGUCAGCUCGUGUUGUGAAAUGUUGGGUUAAGUCCCGCAACGAGCGCAACCCUUAUCCUUUGUUGCCAGCGGUUMGGCCGGGAACUCAAAGGAGACUGCCAGUGAUAAACUGGAGGAAGGUGGGGAUGACGUCAAGUCAUCAUGGCCCUUACGACCAGGGCUACACACGUGCUACAAUGGCAUAUACAAAGAGAAGCGACCUCGCGAGAGCAAGCGGACCUCAUAAAGUAUGUCGUAGUCCGGAUUGGAGUCUGCAACUCGACUCCAUGAAGUCGGAAUCGCUAGUAAUCGUAGAUCAGAAUGCUACGGUGAAUACGUUCCCGGGCCUUGUACACACCGCCCGUCACACCAUGGGAGUGGGUUGCAAAAGAAGUAGGUAGCUUAACCUUCGGGAGGGCGCUUACCACUUUGUGAUUCAUGACUGGGGUGAAGUCGUAACAAGGUAACCGUA